AAGAAGAGUUCUCAUACAACACGCUAAUGAGGAAAAAUUAUGCGAAAAAUUGUUUCGUUAGGGUAUUAAAACUACGACUUGGUCAACAAAAAACAAAUUCCAGUAUGCAAAGCAUGCGGUUCGUUCGAAGAUUACAGACAGAGACGCAACAACUUCCAACUUCGUUCGACAUUUGAAGAUGCACAAAGGACCCCUGCUGUUCCAGGACUUCUCCUUAGAGCCAAUGGAGCGUUCUCUGUUCCAAAAGAGGAGCAAACCUAUGACCAGGACUGUUAAGAAGGCACUUCUUCAACUGCAGGACUGCUUCCAGACAAUGUCACGGUCAGUGUUCGAUCAUCUGGAACUACAGAAGUGGGCAAAUGCUGUUUUCCUUAUAUUAGACACUGUACAGACAAUGUUACUGUGAAUAACCGUGGAAGACGUCAGAGGUCGAAGUACUUUUGAGGUCCCAAAUCUCUGCCUUCCAUUUGGGGGAUAGAGAGCAAUACGGCACGGCUCAAUCGGACCUCAGGAGAGGCAACAAGGCUGCAAAAGUGGAGUAUAGGAGGAAAGUGGAGGCGCACUUGGACAACCAAGACAAGGCAGCCAACAUCUGACAAGCUACAAAAGUAACUUAUCGGCAGCCAGCAACAAGGAAGACUUGCUAGCGGAGGUACUUAAUCACUUCUUUACCUGUUUCGAGUCAUUCAGACCAGCCACACAUGAGAUGCCACUCCUGCCCUCUAGUCCUCAACUGUUAAUCCUCCAAGAACACCAGGGGAGGUGAGCACCGAAGUCUAUAAAACCGCGUGAAGCAGCUGGGCCAGACGGCAUUCUGGGCAGGUUGUUCUGGGACUUUUGCAGACCAGCUGGCAGCAGUACUGACAAGGAUAUUCAAUUCAACCCUGGCACAGGCCCAGGUCCCGCCCUGACUUAAAAGGUAACCACAGUUUUUGUUUGUUUUUUUGCCCAUUUUCAGAAUCCUUAUAUAAGACAAGAACACAUUUUGUUAUUUUUUUAUGCAUUCUAAAUUGUAAAUACAUGUGAUUAAAAGUCUGCUUACAAUGGAGCCUAUCGGGAGUUGCUCUAUUAUGCCAAAAAAUCCCUUAAAAAACAUCCAAACUCCUCCAUUAAGGUUUUAUAUUAAUGCUGUAAGUAUGCUCAUUUUAGGCAUAUGCGUUGCAUUAAUUUCAAACGCAUCACAAUGUUCGCUUAUUUUCGCCAAACAUUACUGAUUACCACUUACUGCAGACUUCAUGUAAGCCAACAAACAUAAUAAAACAUCACUUACUGUAUAAUGUCUGCUGUCAUUAGGAUGCCAACUGAUAGAAUUGUGUGGUAUUGCUAUGUAGCUAAAGAAUGACUCAUAAUCCUCGCAGAGAAAAGGGGGUUAGAACCGAGCAUCUUUUCGUGCAGUUCUCAACAUUUUCGGGUCUAAAUUGGCUGUCAAAGUGUACCAGCUUGUCGGAUUACAUCCUUGUCCUUCUACUUUCAAGGUGAGAGGCAUGAUUUAUGGUCUACAAUAAACUUCCACGAGCAGGGAAGCAAGGUAGCAGGUUUUCACUCGAUGAUAUCAACAUAGGUCCACACUCUAGUGAUCAUGGCGUCGCUAUAAAUAGAUUGUCUGCGUUAGAGCAUAUAAAAACAAUAUCACUAAUAUUUGGUUAAUAUUCAAGUCAUGAAAUGUAAAUGGUUUAUUGUUGGUGCUUUUUUGAUGUUUUUAACUGGAUUUUAUGGGUAGAAUAGAGAAGCUUCCAUUGGCUUCGCUGUGAGCGGACUUUUAUUUACGUUUGUAAACGAGUUAGAAUGCAUAAAAAAAAAACAAAAAACAUUUUUCAUUUUGUCUUUUAUAAUGACUGUGAAAAAGAGGCUAAAUUCCCAAAAAUUGCAAUUCCCCACAAUUAAUAUGAAAGACAUGAGGACAAAUGUUUUUUCCUUUCUUAAGCAUUUUAAAUAUUAAUAACAUUUGAUUAAAAGUUUGCUUACAAUGGAUCCUAUGGGAGCCGUUUAAUUCUGCCUAUAGAGCCCCUAAAAAACGUCCAAACACCUCCAUUACGGUUUUAUGUACAUGAUGUAAGCAUAUAAGUAAUGUAGUAACGGGCACAUUUAUAAAAACACUUAAUAUUUACGUAUUUCGAUCAUUUUAAGUAGGGUUGUCCGGAUAACAAAAUUUUGGUACAGGUAUCGAUCAUUUUGUAAAUUAAGGCGACCCCAAAAAAUAGCAUUAUUGGCUUUAUUUUAACAAUAAUUAAACAUGUUUCUUAUUGCAAGUUUGUCCUUAAAUAAAAUAGUGAACAUACAAGGCAACUUGUCUUUUAGUAGUAAGUAAGCAAACAAAGGCUCCUUAAUUAGCUGCUGACGUAUGCAGUAACAUAUUGUGUAACUUUCUGUUCUAUUAUUGUGUCAAAAUUAUUAAGGACAAGGGGUAACAAGCGCUUUUCGUGUUGUCCUCGCCAGUUCCAGGUCCUACAUGGCGGUCAAAGUGUUGCAACUUUUGGCAUUAUCUCCUCAAACAUCUACUGUCCAGGUGAGAUGCAUGAUUUAUGAUCAACAAUAAACUUACAGGGAGCAAAAAAGCAAGGAAGCAGCAGACCACUCGAUGUAAACAUACAGAGACACAAAAGUGAUCACGGCGACCAAGGGGAAUAAAUAGUUUGUCUGUGUUAGCGCUUAUAACAAAAAUAUCACAAAUAAUUGUUUAAUAUUCAAGUCACAAAAUAUAAAAUUGAUUAUUGGUGGCGCCUUUUGAAUGGUUAUUUAUCUGAUUUUUGGGUGGAAUAGUGGACCUUCCAUUGGCCCUGCUGUGAACACACUUUUAUUUAGGUUUAUUUAAUAUUUUGAAUAUUUUUUUAAAAUCCAUCCGUUGUCAUGUCUUUCAUAAUAAUUGUGAAUAAGAGGCAAAAUUCCCAAAAAAGUGCAGUUCCCUUUUAAAGCAGCCACGGUCUUCCCAAUUUGCAAGAGUAUAGCCAUGAAAGACUUAAAUGACCACACAUCAGUUGCACUGACGUCUGUGGUUAUGAAGUGUUUUAAAGGCUUGUUCUCCAAUAUAUCAAAGCCUGCCUUCCCCAGAACUUGGAUGCACAUCAGUUUGCCUACAGGUAAAACCGGUCCACAGAGGAUGCCAUAGCCACUGCUCUCCACUAAGCUGUGGGACAUCUGGCACUUUUGGAUACAUACAGUAUGUCAGCAUGCUGUUUGUCUACUACAGCUUGGUAUAUAUUACCAUUAUCCCCAACAUUCUAACGGAGAAGCUAAGCUUCCUGGGCCACACUUCUGUUUGUUCUAUUCUUUUGAUGUAACAGGAAACAUUAAAAGUAAGAAUAAAACAUUUAAAACUU